GACGAACGCUGGCGGCGUGCUUAGCACAUGCAAGUCGAACGGAAAGGCCCUGCUUUUGUGGGGUGCUCGAGUGGCGAACGGGUGAGUAACACGUGAGUAACCUGCCCUUGACUUUGGGAUAACUUCAGGAAACUGGGGCUAAUACCGGAUAGGAGCUCCUGCUGCAUGGUGGGGGUUGGAAAGUUUCGGCGGUUGGGGAUGGACUCGCGGCUUAUCAGCCUGUUGGUGGGGUAGUGGCUUACCAAGGCUUUGACGGGUAGCCGGCCUGAGAGGGUGACCGGCCACAUUGGGACUGAGAUACGGCCCAGACUCCUACGGGAGGCAGCAGUGGGGAAUAUUGCACAAUGGGCGGAAGCCUGAUGCAGCAACGCCGCGUGCGGGAUGACGGCCUUCGGGUUGUAAACCGCUUUCGCCUGUGACGAAGCGUGAGUGACGGUAAUGGGUAAAGAAGCACCGGCUAACUACGUG
rnacentral:rRNA from 1 species